GGGGCUGUCCCGGAUUCGACAGGCAUACGGACGGACUCGUAAGCAUACCGAAGGCUCGGCUUCGUAAAAACGGAAACCUAAAAUUAAACGCUAAUCAAAAUCAGCAAAUCGCUUACGCUGCCUAAUUGCAGCUGAGCCGUCCGCGGUGAUCUCCACGCUCACCGACGGACGUCGGACAGUGGAACAGGGUCGCGGCAAUGCGCCGCAGUUGACGCGACAAGACUUUGCGGCUCGCCGAAACAAGCUCUGCGGACGUAGCUUGUCAGGGACUUCGAACAUCCGAUAAGUAUGUAGAAAGCGGUCUGGAAAGAUGUUUGGACAGGGGUUCAACUCCCCUCAGCUCCACCA
rnacentral:tmRNA from 1 species